rnacentral:rRNA from 1 species
CUCGAGUCUUUGACGCAAGUUGCGCCUGAAGCCAUUAGGUUGAGGGCACGCCUGCCUGGGUGUCACACAUUGUCACCCCAAUGCAAAUGUGCAUUGAGGUGAAAGUUGGCUUCCCGCGAGGCAUUCCUCGUGGUUGGUUGAAAACGAAGUUAAUCGCGAAGUCCCUCGUCAUAAAUGGUGGAUGAGUAAAUCUCGAGACCAAUCGUGACUGUGGUACUUUGGGGAUGUAAUUGGUUGGCUCUGUUGUGUUUUCCGUUCAUGUUGAAGAAGACGCUUUUAUCGAGACCUCAGGUCAGGCGGGGCUACCCGCUGAGUUUAAGCAUAUCAAUAAGCGGAGGAAAAGAAACUAACAAGGAUUCCCCUAGUAACGGCGAGCGAACCGGGAAUAGCCCAUCAUGAGAAUCGAUCGCCUUCGGUGUUCGAAUUGUAGUAGA